AUUGAACGCUGGCGGCAGGCUUAACACAUGCAAGUCGAGCGGAGAUGAGGUGCUUGCACCUUAUCUUAGCGGCGGACGGGUGAGUAAUGCUUAGGAAUCUGCCUAUUAGUGGGGGACAACAUUCCGAAAGGAAUGCUAAUACCGCAUACGCCCUACGGGGGAAAGCAGGGGAUCUUCGGACCUUGCGCUAAUAGAUGAGCCUAAGUCGGAUUAGCUAGUUGGUGGGGUAAAGGCCUACCAAGGCGACGAUCUGUAGCGGGUCUGAGAGGAUGAUCCGCCACACUGGGACUGAGACACGGCCCAGACUCCUACGGGAGGCAGCAGUGGGGAAUAUUGGACAAUGGGCGGAAGCCUGAUCCAGCCAUGCCGCGUGUGUGAAGAAGGCCUUUUGGUUGUAAAGCACUUUAAGCGAGGAGGAGGCUACCUGGAUUAAUACUCUAGGAUAGUGGACGUUACUCGCAGAAUAAGCACCGGCUAACUCUGUGCCAGCCGCCGCAGUAAUAC
rnacentral:rRNA from 1 species